UACGUAGGCAGCGAGCGUUGUUCGGAGUUACUGGGCGUAAAGGGUGCGUAGGCGGCCUAUUAAGUUUGUCGUGAAAUCUCCCGGCUCAACUGGGAGGGUGCGGCGAAUACUGAUGGGCUUGGAGUGUGGGAGAGGAGAGUGGAAUUCCUGGUGUAGCGGUGAAAUGCGUAGAUAUCAGGAGGAACACCGGCGGUGUAGACGGCUCUCUGGACCAUAACUGACGCUGAGGCACGAAAGCGUGGGUAGCAAACAGGAUUAGAUACCCUGGUAGUCCACGCCCUAAACGAUGCGCAUUUGGUGUGGGCAGUUCAUUCUGUCCGUGCCGUAGCUAACGCGUUAAAUGCGCCGCCUGGGGAGUACAGUCGCAAGGCUGAA
rnacentral:rRNA from 1 species